GAUGAACGCUGGCGGCGUGCCUAAUACAUGCAAGUCGAGCGAACAGACGAGGAGCUUGCUCCUCUGACGUUAGCGGCGGACGGGUGAGUAACACGUGGAUAACCUACCUAUAAGACUGGGAUAACUUCGGGAAACCGGAGCUAAUACCGGAUAAUAUAUUGAACCGCAUGGUUCAAUAGUGAAAGACGGUUUUGCUGUCACUUAUAGAUGGAUCCGCGCCGCAUUAGCUAGUUGGUAAGGUAACGGCUUACCAAGGCAACGAUGCGUAGCCGACCUGAGAGGGAGACCGGCCACACGGGACGUGAGACACGGUCCAACCCCCUACGGGAGGCAGGAGUAGGGAAUCUGCCCAAAGGGGCGAAAGCCUGAAGGAGCAACGCCGCGAGGGUGAGGAGGUGCUUGGGGUGGGAAAACCUUUGUAUUGGGGAAGAAAAAAUGUGAAAGUAACGAUGCACGUUUUGAGGGUACCAAACCAAAAAGCCGCGGCUAACUGGGU
rnacentral:rRNA from 1 species